UGAGGAAUAUUGCACAAUGGGCGCAAGCCUGAUGCAGCGACGCCGCGUGUGGGAUGAAGGGGCUACGCCUCGUAAACCACUGUAGCCCGGGACGAAAAACGCCUUAGAGGCGUUAGACGGUACCGGGAAAGUAAGGGUCGGCUAACUACGUGCCAGCAGCCGCGGUAAUACGUAGGACCCAAGCGUUGUCCGGAUUUACUGGGUGUAAAGGGUGCGCAGGCGGAUGGGUAAGUCAGGGGUGAAAGUCUGCAGCUUAACUGUAGAAUUGCCUUCGAUACUGCUCAUCUUGAGUGUGGGAGAGGUUGAUGGAAUACCAGGUGUAGCAGUGAAAUGCGUAGAUAUCUGGAAGAACACCAGUGCCGAAGGCGGUCAACUGGCCCAUAACUGGCGCUCAUGCACGAAAGCGUGGGGAACAAACA
rnacentral:rRNA from 1 species